rnacentral:snoRNA from 1 species
AAGACUGUGCUUCAUAGGAUCAUUUCUAUAGGCAAGUUUUCACACGUCCACUACGCAAAGUGGAGUAAUUCCUCGAAGGGUAGGGGC